UGAAACCGUGUACGUACAAGCAGUAGGAGCAGGCUUUGUCCUGUGACUGCGUACCUUUUGUAUAAUGGGUCAGCGACUUAUAUUCAGUGGCAAGGUUAACCAUCUAGGGGAGCCGUAGGGAAACCGAGUCUUAACUGGGCGUUCAGUCUCUGGAUAUAGACCCGAAACCAGGUGAUCUAGCCAUGGGCAGGUUGAAGGUUGAGUAACAUCAACUGGAGGACCGAACCGACUAAUGUUGAAAAAUUAGCGGAUGACUUGUGGCUAGGGGUGAAAGGCCAAUCAAACCUGGAGAUAGCUGGUUCUCCCCGAAAGCUAUUUAGGUAGCGCCUCGGACGAAUACUACUGGGGGUAGAGCACUGUUAAGGCUAGGGGGUCAUCCCGACUUACCAACCCUUUGCAAACUCCGAAUACCAGUAAGUACUAUCCGGGAGACACACGGCGGGUGCUAACGUCCGUCGUGGAGAGGGAAACAACCCAGACCGCCAGCUAAGGUCCCAAAUUACUACUAAGUGGGAAACGAUGUGGGAAGGCUCAGACAGCCAGGAUGUUGGCUUAGAAGCAGCCAUCAUUUAAAGAAAGCGUAAUAGCUCACUGGUCGAGUCGGCCUGCGCGGAAGAUGUAACGGGGCUAAGUAGUAAACCGAAGCUGCGGCAAUAUACUUUUGUAUAUUGGGUAGGGGAGCGUUCUGUAAGCGGUUGAANUGUAACGGGGCUAAGUAGUAAACCGAAGCUGCGGCAAUAUACUUUUGUAUAUUGGGUAGGGGAGCGUUCUGUAAGCGGUUGAAGGUGUGUGGUAACGCAUGCUGGACGUAUCAGAAGUGCGAAUGCUGACAUGAGUAACGAUAAAGGGGGUGAAAAACCUCCUCGCCGGAAGACCAAGGGUUCCUGUCCAACGUUAAUCGGGGCAGGGUAAGUCGACCCCUAAGGCGAGGCCGAAAGGCGUAGUCGAUGGGAAACGGGUUAAUAUUCCCGUACUUCUUACAAUUGCGAUGGGGGGACGGAGAAGGCUAGGUGGGCCUGGCGACGGUUGUCCAGGUUCAAGUGCGUAGGCUUGAGAGUUAGGUAAAUCCGGCUCUCUUUAAGGCUGAGACACGACGUCGAGCACCUACGGGUNNNGCGUAAUAGCUCACUGGUCGAGUCGGCCUGCGCGGAAGAUGUAACGGGGCUAAGUAGUAAACCGAAGCUGCGGCAAUGUGCUUUUGCACAUUGGGUAGGGGAGCGUUCUGUAAGCGGUUGAAGGUGUGUGGUAACGCAUGCUGGACGUAUCAGAAGUGCGAAUGCUGACAUGAGUAACGAUAAAGGGGGUGAAAAACCUCCUCGCCGGAAGACCAAGGGUUCCUGUCCAACGUUAAUCGGGGCAGGGUAAGUCGACCCCUAAGGCGAGGCCGAAAGGCGUAGUCGAUGGGAAACGGGUUAAUAUUCCCGUACUUCUUACAAUUGCGAUGGGGGGACGGAGAAGGCUAGGUGGGCCUGGCGACGGUUGUCCAGGUUCAAGUGCGUAGGCUUAAGAGUUAGGUAAAUCCGGCUCUUUCUAAGGCUGAGACACGACGUCGAGCACCUACGGGUGUGAAGUCAUUGAUGCCAUGCUUCCAGGAAAAGCCUCUAAGCUUCAGAUUGUAAGGAAUCGUACCCCAAACCGACACAGGUGGUCGGGUAGAGAAUACCAAGGCGCUUGAGAGAACUCGGGUGAAGGAACUAGGCAAAAUGGUACCGUAACUUCGGGAGAAGGUACGCUCUCGACGGUGAAGUCCCUCGCGGAUGGAGCUAUUGAGAGUCGCAGAUACCAGGUGGCUGCAACUGUUUAUUAAAAACACAGCACUGUGCAAAAUCGUAAGAUGACGUAUACGGUGUGACGCCUGCCCGGUGCCGGAAGGUUAAUUGAUGGGGUUAGACUUCGGUCGAAGCUCUUGAUCGAAGCCCCGGUAAACGGCGGCCGUAACUAUAACGGUCCUAAGGUAGCGAAAUUCCUUGUCGGGUAAGUUCCGACCUGCACGAAUGGCGUAAUGAUGGCCACGCUGUCUCCACCCGAGACUCAGUGAAAUUGAAAUCGCUGUGAAGAUGCAGUGUACCCGCGGCUAGACGGAAAGACCCCGUGAACCUUUACUACAGCUUGGCACUGAACAUUGACCCUACAUGUGUAGGCUAGGUGGGAGGCUUUGAAGACGGUACGCCAGUAUCGUNNNGCCGUCCUUGAAAUACCACCCUUGUAGUGUUGAUGUUCUAACGUCGACCCCUUAUCGGGGUUGCGGACAGUGCCUGGUAGGUAGUUUGACUGGGGCGGUCUCCUCCCAAAGAGUAACGGAGGAGCACGAAGGUGGGCUAAUCACGGUUGGACAUCGUGAGGUUAGUGCAAUGGCAUAAGCCCGCUUGACUGCGAGAAUGACAAUUCGAGCAGGUGCGAAAGCAGGUCAUAGUGAUCCGGUGGUUCUGAAUGGAAGGGCCAUCGCUCAACGGAUAAAAGGUACUCCGGGGAUAACAGGCUGAUACCGCCCAAGAGUUCAUAUCGACGGCGGUGUUUGGCACCUCGAUGUCGGCUCAUCACAUCCUGGGGCUGAAGUCGGUCCCAAGGGUAUGGCUGUUCGCCAUUUAAAGUGGUACGCGAGCUGGGUUUAGAACGUCGUGAGACAGUUCGGUCCCUAUCUGCCGUGGGCGUUGGAAGAUUGAAGGGGGCUGCUCCUAGUACGAGAGGACCGGAGUGGACGAACCUCUGGUGUUCGGGUUGUGUCGCCAGACGCAUUGCCCGGUAGCUAAGUUCGGAAUCGAUAACCGCUGAAAGCAUCUAAGCGGGAAGCGAGCCCUGAGAUGAGUCUUCCCUGAUACUUUAAGUAUCCUAAAGGGUUGUCGGAGACUACGACGUUGAUAGGUCAGGUGUGUAAGUGCUGUGAGGCAUUGAGCUAACUGAUACUAAUUGCCCGUGAGGCUUAACCAU
rnacentral:rRNA from 1 species